UCACUAGCUAUUUUCCACGACCUCAUCCCUCUCACCAUCACAAUUUAGGGUUUAAAUUUUGUUGAGGUAAGUUAAAUUUCUCUCUAAUAUUGAGCAUAAGCAGAUCAAAGUAUGAUUUCAGAACCGAAGAAUCUCCGAGCUCUCACUUUUGGUUCAGAACAAGGGAAAAGACACUGCCAACAUUUCUAUUACGGCUCCUAAGUUUGUAAAACUAGAGCAUAACAAAAUUGAACUCCAAGGAAAGGAAAACAAGAAGCGACAGGUACUAGAGAUCAUCAACCGACGCUCCGUUGAAGAUCCACAUACACUCUCAGCUAGUUGGUGAGUCCUCCUAGCUUCCGGAGGAUCUUGAGCUCCUUGCAUAGUAUCGUAUUAUCUCUGUAUUUUGAUUGUUGGUAGCCAUGGGCUUGUCAUUGGCACCUUCCAGACGUUGAUAGAGGCUUCAUAGACUAGAGUGUGGGGAGGUUGGACUGUUAUUUUGAGGAGUCCUAUUAUACUUAUUUUGUUAAGUUAGACAUGUUUGGCCUUCGGCCCCCAUAUUGUAAAUAGCAUGUUAUAAUUGAGCAUUCCUUUG